rnacentral:snRNA from 1 species
CUAAAAAAAUUAUAUAUACUAAAAUUGGAACGAUGCGAUACAGAGAAGAUUAGCAUGGACCCUGCGUAAGGAUGACACGCAAAAUCGUGAAGCGUUCCACAUUUUU